AUGCCCUAUAUAGGUGUAGUCUCACCCUCAGCAACGAGCUCCCUCUCUUUCCGCCUCCACUUCCUCGCGAGCCUCUCUCUUCUCCUGCUCCUCACAGCGGCGGCGGCGGCGAUGCAGAUGGCGGCCGCGACAAUCGAUGCUCCGGUGGCAGCUGCGCCGCACCCACAUCCCCAUGCCCAUGGCCCACAAGUACCGCACGGUCACGGGCACCCGCACCCUCACCACCACAUGCCGCAGCCGCGGUGGGUGGUACUUCCUUACCCGCCGCCGCCGCCUAUGGUGGCCGCGCCGCCCCCUCCUACACCGCAGUAUGUGAAGCAUUUCGCGCCGCAGGCAUCGGUGACGCCGCCUCCGCCAUCGACUGGAUCCGGCGGGAACGGAGGUGACGAGAACCGGACGAUCUGGGUCGGCGACCUCCAGUACUGGAUGGACGAGAACUAUCUCCACAGCUGCUUCGGCCCCAGCGGCGAGGUGGUGACGAUUAAAGUUAUCCGCAAUAGACAUUCCGGAGUUUCUGAGGGUUAUGGUUUUGUAGAGUUCUGUUCCCAUGCAUCAGCAGAGAAAGCACUUCAGAAUUUUGCUGGUCAUGUAAUGCCUAAUACUGACCGAGCUUUUAAGUUAAAUUGGGCAUCGUAUAGUGUUGGAGAAAAACGCUCUGAACUUGCUUCUGAUCACUCAAUUUUUGUUGGUGAUCUAGCUGUUGAUGUUACUGAUGACAUGUUGAUGGAACUUUUUGCUAACAAAUAUCGUUCUGUGAAAGGAGCUAAAGUUAUUAUUGAUGCAAACACGGGCCGUUCUAGGGGCUAUGGAUUUGUUAGGUUUGGAGAUGAUAUUGAUAGAACUCAUGCUAUGACUGAAAUGAAUGGUGUGUAUUGCUCCACUCGGCCAAUUCGCAUUGGACCUGCAACUCCUAGAAGAACUUCAGUUUCAGGUGAUUUUGGCACCUCUCCACCAACACAAUCAGAUGGUGACUCGACUAACAGGACAGUAUAUGUUGGCGGGCUUGACCCCAACGUUAGUGAAGAUGAACUAAGGAAAGCAUUUGCGAAAUAUGGUGAUGUUGCUUCUGUCAAAAUUCCUGUUGGGAAACAAUGCGGUUUUGUUCAAUUUGUCAACAGAGCUGAUGCGGAAGAAGCAUUACAAGGGUUGAGUGGAUUAACAAUCGGGAAGCAGGCAGUUCGUCUUUCUUGGGGCCGCAGUCCAGCAAGCAAACAGUCUAGGGGUGAUUCUGGGCAUCGGCGGAAUGGCAUGUACUACGGCACGCCUUUCUACGGUGGAUAUGGCUACACGUCGCCAGUUCCUCACCCAAACGUGUAUGCUGCGGCUUAUGGAGCCUACCCUUUCUACGGUAACCAGCAACUAGUGAGCUGA
rnacentral:rRNA from 1 species